rfam:Triticum urartu cultivar G1812 contig1165053, whole genome shotgun sequence.
UCCGUUGCUGGGUCGCCUGUAGCGGA